GGAUUCGUCUGGGGGUGAGAGUGGCGAAUGGGUGAGUAACACGUAGGUGACCUGCCCCAAAGUGGGGAAUAACCACUGGAAACGGUGGCUAAUACCCCAUGAGCUCGGCGGUUCGGUCCGUCGAGGAAAGCCCCGGCGCUUUGGGAGGGGCCUGCGGCCCAUCAGGUAGUUGGUAGGGUAAUGGCCUACCAAGCCAAUGACGGGUANGGGGCGUGAGAGCGUGAUCCCCCACACUGGCACUGAGACACGGGCCAGACUCCUACGGGAGGCAGCAGUGAGGAAUAUUGCCCAAUGGACGCAAGUCUGAGGCAGCAACGCCGCGUGGGCGAUGAAGGCCUUCGGGUUGUAAAGCCCUUUUCUGGGGGACGAGCAAGGACGGUACCUCAGGAAUAAGUCACGGCUAACUACGUGCCAGCAGCCGCGGUAAUACGUAGGUGGCCAGCGUUAUCCGGAUUUACUGGGCGUAAAGCGCGUGCAGGCGGUUCCAUGAGUCGGACGUGAAAGCUCCUGGCUUAACUGGGAGAGGCCGUUCGAUACUGUGGGGCUUGAGGUCGGGAGAGGGACGUGGAAUUCCCGGUGUAGUGGUGGAAUGCGUAGAUAUCGGGAGGAACACCAGUGGCGAAGGCGGCGUCCUGGCCCGCACCUGACGCUAAGACGCGAAAGCGUGGGGAGCAAACAGGCUUAGAUACCCUGGUAGUCCACGCUGUAAACGGUGGAUACUAGGUGUUGGCGACUACCGUCGUCAGUGCCGUAGCUAACGCGUUAAGUAUCCCGCCUGGGGACUACGGUCGCAAGGCUAAAACUCAAAGGAAUUGACGGGGGCCCGCACAAGCAGCGGAGCGUGUGGUUUAAUUCGAGGCAACGCGAAGAACCUUACCUGGGCUUGACAUGUACGUAGUAGUGAAGCGAACGCGGAACGAUCUCUCGGGAAGCGUGCACAGGUGCUGCAUGGCUGUCG
rnacentral:rRNA from 1 species